UAGGCGGAUUCCAAGACGUGCGAUUGUCAGGCCGGGCACGAGAAGACAAUCACCGGACUCACAGCGAUGCUGGCAGGGGUCAGCUCGAUCUACGGGGCCG
rfam:Actinobacteria bacterium RBG_16_64_13 RBG_16_scaffold_20559, whole genome shotgun sequence.